GCCUCUAAAUGGAAUCAUUCAUGUUUCAAUGACUGUUAUUGGUACACAAUCAACUUGAUAGUGAAGUUUGGUGUUAGAAAUAAGUGGCCAUUUGCCCGAAACCAGAAAAGCACCAAGCGGUUGUGUUAUCAAAUGUUAAUAUUGCUCUUAUUUGUUUUUCUUGUUUUCCCAUGCCACUACUGUCAAUGUAUAGUUAAGGCGGCAUUAGGAAAAAAGCAAAACUUUAUUCUGUUAUUUCUGGGAUCUUGCAGUAAAGCGUGAACACUUCUUCCGACUGGUUUUGCUAAGUGCACAGACACAAGUCUCAAGAAGAUCAUAGUCCUCAUCCCACAGCAACAAUGAUGCCUUCUCUGGGUUCUCCAAAAGCAUCUUUGAUGUCAGGAAACCAGCAACUGUCCACGUCUGAAAAAGCCGGGAUUGUUUACCUAUAAACCUUCCACUGCGCGUGUCAUAGUAUUCAGGCCACUGAUCCCGUAACAAUCUUUUCUCGGCCAAAUCAACUGCCCUCUGUGCUAAUUCUGGUCUCCCCAUCUUUAUACAUGCCAAUGUGAACUGCCAUAGGAGGGUUGGCCAAGAUCCUCCAUUAUGGUAUGACCAUGGGGUAUUCUUUGGGUCACUGCC
rnacentral:misc_RNA from 1 species